rnacentral:rRNA from 1 species
GACGAACGCUGGCGGCGUGCCUAAUACAUGCAAGUCGAACGCAGGGGGGACGGGUGAGUAACACGUGGGUAACCUCCCAUCAGAGGGGAUAACACUUUGAAACAGGUGCUAAACCGAUACUGAUGGAUGGACCCGCGGUGCAUUAGCUAGUUGGGGAGGUAACGGCGUACCAAGGCCACGAUGCAUAGCCGACCUGAGAGGGUGCGCGGCCACACUGGGACUGAUACACGGCCCAGACUCCGACGGGAGGCAGCAGUAGGGAAUAUUCGGCAAUGGACGAAAGUCUGACCGAGCAACGCCGCGUGAGUGAAGAAGGUUUUCGGAUUGUAAAACUCUGUUGUUAGAGAAGCGGUAUCUAACCAGAAAGCCCCGGCUAACUACGUGCCAGCAGCCGCGGUAAUUC